rnacentral:lncRNA from 1 species
UUCCACAAUGGCUGAACUAAUUUACACUCCCACCAGCAGUGUAAAAGUGUUCCUAUUUCUCCACAUCCUCUCCAGCAUUUGUAUUUAUUUAUUAAAAAUUUUUUUUUUCUUUUUCUUUUUUUUUUGAGAUGGACUCUCACUCUGUCACCCAGGCUGGAGUGCAGUGGUGCGAUCUCAGCUCACUGCAAUCUCCACCUACCAGGUUCAAGCGAUUCUUCUGCCUCAGCCUCUUGGGUAGCCGGGACUACAGGCGCAUGCCACCAUGCCCAGCUAAUCUCUUUCUGGUAUUUGUAGUACAGACGGGGUUUCACUGUGUUGGCCGGGCUGGUCUUGAUCUCCUGACCUUGUGAUCUGCCCGCCUCAGCCGCCCAAAGUGCUGGGAUUACCGGUGUGAGCCACCGCGCCCGGCCUCCUUCCUUCCUUCUUUUCUUUCUUCCUCCCUCCCUCUUUUCUUUCCUUUUUCUCUUUCCUUUUCUCCCUUCCUUUCUCCUUCCCUUCCUCCCUCCCUCUCUCCCUCCCUUUUUUCCUUCUUUUUCUUUCCUUCUAGAUGAGAGUCUUGUUUUGCCCAGGUUGGACUUUAACUCCUGGGCUCGAGUGAUCCUCCCUCCCCAGCCCCCAAGUAGUUGGGACCGCAGCAACAGGACAGGGCAGCCCGGCUUAGAGUUCUCUGAAGGCUUUAUUUGUGGCACCCAUUCGCUCUUCUAUUCCUCUCAGUUUCAGCCUUCAUUUCUUAGUCUUCUCUGUUAUUUUAUUUUAUUUUAUUUUAUUUUGAGAUGGAGUUUCGCUCUUGUUGCCCAGGCUGGAGUGCAGUGGCGUGAUCUCGGCUCACUGCAGCCUCUGCCUCCUGGAUUCAAGUGAUUCUCCUGCCUCAGCCUCCCUAGCAGCUGGGAUUACAGGUGUGCAGCACCAAGCCUGGCUAAUUUUCGUAUUUUUAGUAGAGAUGGGUUUUCACCAUGUUGGCCAGGCUGGUCUCGGACACCUGCCUGCCUCAGCCUCCCAAAGUGCUGGGAUUACAGGCAUGAGCCACCGUGCCAG